GGGAUAUUUUGAGUAUUUACAAAGAAAUCUUGGCCUUCGAUUUGCGCCAUUUGGUAAACUCCACUGUGAUGUUGCCACGUCAUCAGAUCAUGGGGCAGGUCUAGUCUGAAGUGGCGAGUUUUGUUCCUCUGGUUUCAGGCUACCACCUAAUUUGCACACAUUGUUCCUCUCUACCAUCGAGGCUGGCCUUUGAAUUUUCAAAGCGCUUUUUCCUCCCAUUAAAGCUUACGAAAUUUUCAGCUUUCGAGUUCAGUUUUAAUCUUGCUCUCUUCUCACUUUCAGGUUGAGUAAUGUGCUGUUUUGUGCAAGUCUUGAUUUGUAGGAAUCUGAUUCUAUGUGUAGGAGGGAAGAAAAGCAGCAAUGAGAAGUAAGAAAAAGCUGGUAACAGUCAAUUAAAUUGGAGUAAGCUUCAACAAGUGAAAAUGUGUCACUAUCAGGCAUGGGAAGGUGAUUCACCUCAGCAUGAAGAUUCUCUCCUUAGUAUUGCAGAUGGCAUUGACAAUGUAGCAUCCUGGGAAAGGAGGUUGGACAUGUUGGCAGCUCGUGUAGCAAGGAUUGAGGCUCUUGUACUAGGACUAGAGGCAAGGUUGUUGUUCCUCCGAAGGGCAUUGCGACUUGUAACUAUCACGUUUCUUCUUACACUAGUCUAUGCUAUAAUCAAAUGAAUGUUUUAAUGACAAAUUCUUCUGUUGUAGCUCUAUUUCUCUUCAUUAGAAAUCUAGUUAGGUGCCUGAUGAUUCUUGCUCUCAAACUGUAAGCUGUCAAAUUUAAGAAAUUCGGUGAAAAGAGAAAGAAAUAUUGUCCAUUAACCUCUAUGCAAAUGAUGAUCAUAACCAUGCUUUGCCUUUAUGAUUGGCAAUCGCUAAUUAUCAA